CCUCUCCACGUCAUGCCUAUGCCUCUUGCUUCAAGGACCAUGCUUCUUUACUGCCUUUGAAACCGUGACAAAUUACACACAAAUUCUUACUCUUCUCCGACUUUCCCUUUUCAUUUCCUCUCUAUAUUUUCCUCUCUACAGUUGACCAAUGCCAUCGAUCUGCUCAUUUCUUCUCUCUGAUUUUCCUUUUUCAUUUUCUUUAUCUGCAAUCGACGAAAACCCUCGGUUAUUUGACGCUGGUUUCUUGGAAUCGAAUCAUAUCAGGUAGUUUAAUCGAGGGUAUGUUGGUUCGAUUUUACUGUGUGGUUCCAAUUUUGCAAGAUCUUCUCAUUUUUUUUCGCUGCUUUCUUUGCUCGGAGGUUCUAACCCUCUAUUUUUUUUUCUUUUACAGGAGUUUGAAAUUUUCAUUGUAGAUCAACCGAAAGAAUUGUUGAGAAAAAUUCCUUGCACAAGUAAUUGUAGAUCUUUGCUGUAGAUAGAAGGUAUGUUUGUUCAAUUUCACUGUGUGGUUCCAGGUUCGAAAGAAUUUUUUUUUUUUACUGCGUGGUUCGCUUUUUCCUCCCUAAAAUUUGAAGCUAAAUUUAUUUUCGGUUUGUCUAAUGUGGAUCUCGCUUAGUGCAUGUGUGAUUUGGUUGCCUUUCUUUGUCUGUCGUGUCUCACAUAUCACUUUCGACCGCUUGGUUGUGGAAGCUCUCUUGAAAUAUUUUCAAAUCAGUAAUUUUCAGGUUUAGUUCAAAGCACAUUUCUCAAUCAAUAACCAGUCCAAUCGGCUCCAAACCACACCCAAUUGAUUCACCUCGGUUGCUAUUCAAUCUUAUCCACGGAGGACAAGAACUGAUGAUGAUUUGUGGCCACAAAAGCUAGGAGAAGAGACCACAAAGAUAUACUAUGAAAGAACCACCAAUUGCACACGUUAUACAAGCGUUCUGGACACUUCUGAAGACCUUUUUUCUCACAUAAAGUGGGGCAGCCGGGAUUCACUUUUUUUUUCUCUCAAAAUCACACAAUACAUCAUAAGAAAGUGGCUAAGGUUAUAACCAUAUAUAUACUCUAAGGUUAAACUUUAAGUUGGACCACUAAAGGGGUAAACGGGCUAAAAUUCAAGCCAUCAAUAAAGGAAUACACUUGGGCCGGAUGUAGCUCAUGAACUUGGUUGUUGGACUUAUUUCAUUCAUUGAUCUAUGCCUAUGAAAUAAUAUUAACUCACGUUAACAUCAUAGCCGGGGAUUUAUUGGGUAUCAAAAACCCAACAAAUCUCCACCUUGAUUUAUUAUCAAAAUACACAGUUAAGACUUGCAUAAUCAAGGUAGCCAAUAAAAUUGGAUCAUAGACGUUGCCACGUGUUUCCAACUUGAAACACAUACCAUAUCUGCUCCAUGUACUUACUGGGGUUAAAGUUAAAAACACCCAAAUAGAAACAAAUAUUUAACAGUAAACAAUCAAGAGCAAAUAGACGUGCGAUGACGAUAUAAUAUAGGAUAACACAUACAGAUAUUUUCAGAAAUCGUUCACAUAGAACCAUAGAUUAACACCUAGUCAAUCAAACCACGGUCAACCACAUAUGCAACACAUACAUAAAUGACCCUAAGAAAAGAUCUCACCACACUUAUUAUAUCCUAUUCCUUGUUGCUCACACCUCGAGAACACAUAUCUCUUCUCAUCGCCCACCAAGCUCACUAGACAGAUCACUCAACUCAUGUCUAAUUGACAAGUCACAAUAGAUCCUAAGUCUACGAGAUAAUCCUCUAUCUCCACAUCACUUCUUCCAACCUAUGUGGAUAAUGGGUCUCCACCUAACAGAAGUGAUAGAAGUGUCUCUCUCACACUCCACCUGAUUAGGGUCUCUUUCCUGAUAAAUGAUUCUAGACAUUUGAUCACAUCUCCACUCGUGAUCCAAAUGUCACACUCCACAUCCUCGGUACAAACCAUCAUGUACCCCUAAGCAUCUAUACUCCACCUUACCAAAAAACUCACAACACACUGCUAAUGCAUCCUAACCCACUAUACAUGCAAUCAAUUACACCAAGUAAUCCUAAUGUCUCAAAUUCAUGCAAAUACACAUAUCAAACGCAUUGAAAUGUAGCAGAAAAUCAUGCACCAAAAUUUAGACAAUCACACACAUGCAGAAAAUGAUCACACACAGAUGCAUAUGUAGUAACUAGGUUUACACUUAAUAAACGGGUCAUAACUUGACCCCUCAGCUUAUCUUUCUUCUAGGGACAGUUCCUAAUAAAGUGUCCAGACUUACCACAACUGUAAUACCUUUUAUCACUAGACUUGUCUCGUCCCUUGCCCUUUUUCUUACUACCCUCAUCACUCGAGUCACUACUCGAAUCACUACCGUCUUGAGUUCUACCCAAAUUCAUCAGCUUAAACUUCAUUCUACUCAUCAUAUUUAACUCACCAUUCCUCUUAUCCUCUUUUUCAGCCUUAAUCUCCAUCUUCUUACUUCUAAGUGGGUCAAUGAAAAUCUCAGGUGUUAAGGUGUCCCUACUGUACUUAAUUGCAUUCUUAACUUCCCUAUAUGAAUCAGGCAUGAAAUUAAGCAGGAUAGUAGCCUUAUACGUAUCGGGUACCUCUUCAUCACAAUUAACGAUGUCUUGAACUAACUUGUUAAAGACAUCCAGAUUAUCAUCAAGAUUCUUUGAAGGAUCCAUUUUAAAGCUGAAAAAUCGUUCAAGCAAUUAUAAUUUAUUAGGAGUUGACUUAAGCAAAUAUAAGUCCUCCAACUUUUCCCAAAGUUGUUUUGUAGAAUCCAGUUUUCCUACUUUUCUCAAAACAGUAUGAGAUAGGUGUAAAAUAAUUGAAGUGUAUGCAAGUUCAUCAUACUCUUCUUUUUGUACUUCUGCUAAAUUUACAGGAAAUUUGCCAUCUAUGGCCUUUGAAACUUUUUAUUUGACCAAAAUACCCUUCAUCUUUUGUUGCCAAAUUGAAAAAUCCCCUUUCCCAUUAAAAAUUCCAACUUCCAAGUGUGAAGACAUUUUUAAGGAGAAAAUAAAAACAGAACAACCAAGUCACAAAUAGGUCACACAAAGUAAUUCUAAGGUCGCAAUAUACGACGUUCUAGAUUUUCAGGGUUUCGUAAGAUUCAGGAUCUUAGAUCAAGGAAAUGUUCGAAAGGAUCAAGUCCAGGUGUUCUAAUUGGAUAAUUAAUACAAACACGAAAGUAUAUAAAUAAAAAUUUCAAAUUUUCAUGCAACAAGUCUCACACAGUGACUAUAUGACAGCUAAGCACAAAAUCAACUACUAACUCGCAAUCAAAGUUCAACACUUCAAAAUAGAGCAAAUAAUUCCUAAACUUUCUAGCACAAACAAUGGUUGCCAAGCAAUGACAACCCCCAAUCCUAACUAUCACCCCACACGAUGAUCUGCUAAUGCUGAAAUUUAAACUGAAUUAAGCUAAUAUACCAGAGCGGACCUAUCUGAGUCCGUAAAUUAUGAGAAUUAAAAUUUAUCACUUUAGAACCACCACUAUUCGUCCUAAAGUCUCUAGAAACUACAGCAACCAAAAAUCACGAUCAAGUCCCGAACAUCCAAAGAACAACGCUGUCCAGAUUCUAUCGCGUACCCUGAAACAGAAAACUUUCAACAUGAAAAAUGUCAGAAAUAAUAUGACGAACAAACUGCCUGAAGGGACCUCCUCGAAAUUCCACUCCACGCACGUCCAUCGACCGACAUGCGCCGCCCUGUAGGGUUCGCCUCUACUUGCACUUCACGCCAGUGGUCUCCGUUUCCCCAAACUCCUUCUGGAUUGAUCAGAAAAUGCGAAAAACGGAGACUGAUUUUGACAGUUUUUGGACAGCUUCUUCGAUCUGAUUUCUGCUGCGAUUUCUGGACUUUUUUGGUAUGUUUCACAAGCCAAAACCACCACCUUAAAACUCUGAUACCAAUUAUUACGGAAGCUCUCUUGAAAGAUCUUCAAAUCAGUGAUUUUCGGGCUCAGUCCAACGCACAUUUCUCAACCAACAACCAGUCCACUCAGCUCCAAACCACAACCAAUUGAUUCACCUCCGUUGCUAUUCAAUCUUACCUAUGUAGGAUAAGAAAUGAUAAUGAUUUGUGGCCAAAAAGGCUAGGAGAAGAUACCUCAAAGGUAUACUAUGAAGGAACCACCAAUUGCACACGUUAUACAAGCGUUCUAGACACUUCUGGAGACCUUUUUUCUCACACAAAGGGAGGCAGUUGGGAUUCACUUUUUCUUCUCUCAAAAUCACACAAUACAUCAUAAGAAAGUGGCUGGGUUGUAGCCAUAUACUACUAUAGGGUUAGGCUUUAAGUUGGACCAUUAAAGGGGUAAACGAGUCAAGAUUCAAGUCAUCCGUAAGGGAAUACGCUUGGGCCGGGUGUAGCUCAUAGAUUUGGUUGUUGGACUUAUUUCAUUCAUCGGCCUAUGCCUAUGAAAUAAUAUUAAUCCACGUUAAUAUCAUAGCCCGGGAUUUAUUGGGUAUCAAAAACCCAACACGCUUCAAUGGCAUCCUUAUAGAUUUCGUUGAGCUCCGGACAGACGUCCCCCGAACACCCCAUAGCAUUAGGUUUCAUCAUUUUGUAUGUUUUCCCUUUUUCUUUUCCUAUAUUCAGAGGUUGGGGUUUUGGUUAAAUCUGGAAUGCAUUGUAUUUCUGUGGAAUUCAGAGUUGUAGUUAUUAAUUGAUUUACUUUAGAAACAAACUUUGUUUUUCAUUUAUAAAAUGUGGAAUUGGCUUUACGCAUGUGCAAUUUGGUUAAGUUCCUUUGUCAUCCAUGUCUCAUAUUCCACCUUCGAGUGCUUCAAUGGCAUCCUUAUACUUUUGGUCGAGUUGCAGACAAACAUCCCCGAACACCCGCCUACAAUUAGGCUUCACUAUUUCUCUAUGUUUUCCUCUUUCUUCUGUUAUUCAGAGGUUUGGUUUGUAUUUUCCUGGAAUUCAGAGUUACAAUUGUUAUUGAUUGAUCUCAUUAUAAUAAAGGAAAAGGGGGAAAAUAUUGAUUCAUUGAUAGCAUGUGAAAAUAUGUUGAGGUCUCAGUAUGUUUAUAACCUUGCAUAAAUAGUAUAUUAACUCUAAAGGGAAACCCAUAAACUGAAAAUAACGAUUUUAUUAUUAUUAUUAUUAUUUUGUUUCUUACAAUUUCCUGGUAUUAAAUUUAGUAGUUACAUACAUUUAUUUACCUCAUAUUUAAAGUAACAAGUAUAUGUAUAGAUAAAAUUGUGUUAGAAAGGAAUAUAUAUAAAAGUUGACUCAUUUCUCUUUUUGUUUCUUUAAUUUCUGCAGAUAAUGGUUCUUGUUUCUUGUAACACGUGUGUGUGUGUGUAUGACAUUAGUGGAACACUUUUUGUGCAUUCUAAACUCAGGUAGAAAAACUAUUGAUAGUUUGAGAAAAUGAGAAGAUAAGGAGCACUGUGGGGUUUAGAAUUGAUAUAAUAUUAAAUAAUUACAUAGGUCUCAUUUCAACCACACGAACUUGACAUAAUCAUUCAAAACAAAAUUUUCAUGAACCCAAUUUAUAUAAAUUCACGUGAUCUGCAAAGUGAGACCCAUAUUCCUAUGUUUCUAUCAAUGUCGACUCUACUCAAUUAUUUAGUACACAUAUUACUUAGAAAAAUAAAACCCUGGGAGCUUAAUUUAUGAAAAAAAUCAUGUCCUUUUUUCUUAGGUAAGUAAGCUGCGGGUCAACAGUACUGGUGGGUUUUGAGUCACUUGCCCCACUGUCAUCAGGUCACCAACUUCCCAUUUUAUGACAACUUUCAAUUUCCCCUUUAUUUUUUCCUAUCUCCUAUUAUUUAUCCCGCAAAUGAGGGAGUCUAAUUAGUAAUUAUAUUUUUCUCAAGAUCUCUAAAAAAGAUUUCGACCCAAUGCUUUAUUUCUGUCCUAGUUGAUUCUGAUUCGUACAUUAGAAGUAUAUUGAUUUUUUCCCAAUAGCUGAGAUUGCUUUGGUGGUGGGUCCGACAUUUAGCUGACAUCUACCAUCGACACAUGACACUUGUCGAGUUAAUUAGGUUGAAUCGGGAUGGAUCAUGUCAAUUGCUCCAUUGCAUAAUUAGAACAUAAAUAUUUUUUUUUAAAUUACAACUUUGAACAAAGUCAAAGCAGUGAGCAAAACAACAUCAAUGGGAGAUAGCGUGGAAAUAUAAAAAAUGACCGACACAAGACAAAGAAAUCCCUGCAAGAAUGCAGUUUCAUGGUGUUUAAGAGAAUAAAGAGAGUAAAAUUUGUACAAAAAUAUAUGGCAUCAGCAUUAGGUAAUAUUUUAAUUUCUACUUUUUGGAAAAUUGGUUAUAGAUUUUUUUUUAAAUAAUUAAUCUACAAAUGAAUUGACUUUCUAUUGUAAAUUUGUUUACUAAUUUCUUUAGAGUUCCUUGUGCAGUGAUUCUUUUAAAUACUUAUUUGUUGUUUCUGUAGUAUAAAUAUUAUGUCGAGUAGCAGUGAGCCACCGCAUCGUUUCGCUCACCUUAUCACACCUUCCUUGGCCCAUAAUGCUCGUAUGUUAAGUGUCAAAAUGAUCUCUUUGUCAAUAUUUAUUGAUAAUAAAUAGGACUAUAUAUAAAGUAAAUAAUAUUUUCACUGGAUUUAUGUUCUUCUUUCUAUAGUUGCUUCCUAAAUCUUUUGUGCGUUGCUUUGGACGUGAGCUCAGCGAUACAGUAUGUCAAAUUGGUUAUGAUGGAAUAGUUUGUAUCAUACAAUUGAAAAGAGUCGAUGGUAAUAUAUAUCUUGGUACUAGAUGGCCAGAAUUCUUCGACCAUCAUAAUUUACAAGAUGGUUUUCUUAUCGCCUUUGAAUACAAUGAAAAUUCUACUUUUGAUGUUUCGAUAUUUGACCAUUCGGCAUGGAAGUAAUGUAUGAGUCUGUUACAUUUGACAUAGAGAUUUCACGUAUUGGUAAUCCUAUCUUCCGAUACUACAUUGGAAGCUAAUCGCGAUGGUCAUAGAACAAUUGCGAGCUUCUCUUUAACUUAAAUGUUUUCCAGACUACAUACAACAUUGUCAUAUCUAUCGUUAUCGCUUAAUUCUAAGUUCUACCAUUCAUGGAUUUAUUAAUUUACUUUGUAGUAUGUACCUGGGACAUUCGCUAGAGUGUAUCUACCAUUGUUUGUCUAGAAUGUUCAAAUCCAGAAUUGUUCACAUUGUAAUUGGUUUGUACGUACAAAUCUGAGAACAAAUGGAUAUGUGCGAUGAUUUUCUAUAGGUUGGGCAGACUAUGUUAACGAGAAAUGACUUCGAAUGGGUGACACAUGUGCCUUUAAACUUAUAAACGAUGAAGUCCCCAUGUUCAUGGUGUACAAAGUGUGCCGCGAUGAUAGAAGUUAGACCCUUACAUGAAUUGUACACUUUCAUUUGUAGCUUCCGUGUUUACUUAUUAGCGAACAUUUAUUUUCCUCUUUAUGUAUGAACACUUUAUAACUAAAUCCAUUGGAAUUCGAAUUUCUAAUUUGCCUAUUUUAUUUUUACUUCAAGUUUCCACUAAAUUCGUGGUUUUUGACUCAUUUUAAUAAAAAUCAGUACAGAAUUAGUUUGUGCUAGUUUGUGCCUAUCAGUAACGUACAUAAUGAAAUCCUACAUUUCGAGUUCAUAGCUUCCGUGUAUCAUCAUUGUUCAAAAGCUAGCAUCCAUGUCGCUAAAAUUAUUCUUGGUAUGUAAAUAUUUUAAAUGCUUCUAGAACAUUCUUUAUUAUAAAUUUUAAUUCUUGAUUAAUGUCUUCGGAGCAGCCUAAACAAUAUAUUCUGAGUCUAUAUGAAGAAUAUUUUGCCCUAACUCAAAAUUUUCAGGUUUCCUUUCGCGUUCGUACAUUUAACUUUUAGGACUAUAUCUUCUUGCUCCUAAAGAGGUUUAUUCUCGCUUAAUCUUUGCUCUAUUAUGUAAUUAUUCUUCUCUAUACUUCUAUUUAAGUUGCGGUUUUAUUUUUACACUUCCAUUUAGUUAAUCAGGCCACACAUUUUUUCUAUAGGUAUAUAUCUAAAGAGUAAAAAAGUAACAAUAAUGCUUGAGCAUCUUCCAAAGCAUUUAUCACUAAAUUUAGAAAGAAGUCUCCCGAAAAGUUUACCAUAAUUUAAAAGAGCAAUCAAAUAUGUUCAUAACAAACUCUUCUGUUGUUUGUAGCUAUAAAAUGAACAUUAUAGAGCUCAAACAAAUAAUCAAUUUUCUGUCAAUGUAUUUGAUUAUUCUUCUAAAUUAUGUUAUUCUUUCGUGAGAAUUCUUUCUAAACUUAGUGAUGAUUACUUUGGAAGAGGAUUAAACUUUAUGUUCCAGUUUGAUUUUAUAUUGAGAGGUGAUUUCUAAACUAACAUUUAUUACAUUACGUUAUUUUUCUAAAUUUAUAAUUCUUAAAUUUCAGUUUUACUUACAGACACUUCACACCACUCUUUUACACAUAUAAUACUCAUCUUUUUCUCUCUUUCAGGAAAAAGUAAUGAUGUGAGAAUGUGGAUCGAAGGUCUAGAGAUAUGUUUUGGUGUCACCCAGUAAACAAAUUUUCUCCAUUUUCCAUUUUUUUAAAUAUAGUGCCAUUGGUCUACCAAAUCCUAUGCACGAAAAUGAUGAAAAAAUAGGCAUGGCUGUCCUUUGCCAAUUUAUUUCGAAGUUUAGUUGUUAACAGAUUUAAUGUCUUAGAUCGUUCUUAAAAAGCAUUCAAUGGAGUUGCAUGAUCCCUACAAUCUUAAAAUAGAGAAUUUGUUGCCACUAUUCAUAAGGCGUCAUAUCUGACACAAUGCUGAUGUCAUAUAUUUUCUACCAAUUUUAUCCCCCAUCUUUUCUCUAACAACACGUCAUUGCAUUUUCAUAUGAUUUCUUUCUCUUCUCUCAGUCAAUCUUCAUUUAUCCACGCUUCUUCCCAUACCUCUUCCCAGACAAUCAUUUGUACUGUGCAAAUCUUCUCUUUACUUCUUUUCUCUUUUCUAUUUCUUUCUCCCACGAUUUUUUGUUUAAUUUCACCAAAUUUUUUCAUUAUUCUUUUGCUCGAAUGCUAAGCGUGGAAGACCUCUCGAGAAUACUUUCAUUUGUUAGCAACUAAAGGGAAGUAAUCCGAAUCUUUAAUGUCUGGUGGUGAAAUGAAAGAUUGGUUCCCAUUUCUUGGAAGCUUCAAAACGUCGUCUUUGUAAGUCUAGGUUUUUGGAUUUACCAUUGCACUCCCCGCCUGCCUAUAUUUUUUGACAACUCGAGCUAAUUUUCCUUUUCAAAUGAGAAUAGAAAGUUCUGGUUUUCUAUUUGGAUUCUAAUUAUAUAUACUUUCUGAUUGAUUGAUCAUGGUAUUUAAAUAAAUGUUUUAAAUUUCAUGCUCAAUCGAGGAUGAUUCCUUGGCCUUUGCGGUUUGAUAUUUCCAAUUUUAGCGUCUUAGUCUAGAAUAUUUUAUGUAAUUGUUUUAUCUUUCAGGAUACUAUUGUUGAAAUUUCGUUUUUAGCAUAAAAAUGGGACAUUGCUUAGCUAAGGAACAUUUAUUUUAUAGCUUUUAGUCAUGUGGGAUUGGUUAUAAUUUAAUUAAGAUUAUUUGGUUUGCUUUAUAUUGUAAAAAGUUUGUAUCAUUAGUUGUCAUAGUGCUCUAAAUUCAGCUGAUUUGGUGAAUAGUAUAACCAUAUUCAAUGUUGCUUACUCUUAUGCCUGGGGUUGAUGAUGAGUUUUUAGUGUACAUUUUACUUUUCCAUUUUUAGAUUUUGCAUUUUUAGUUUCUCUUUCUUCCACUUAAUUUCUACCUACUGUCAUCAUUUAAUUAAUUACUUGCUAUUUUUUCCCUGCUUAAUAUCAACACCUUUUUAGGAAAUGUAAAAUGUUAUUUUGUAGAUUCUUUAUCAAAUCUACUUUAUAGUACAAGUCUGGUGCUUAUGCUAUUAGUUCUUCACGUAGCUAAUGGUAGUAAGGUUUUUUGAACUGAAACUUCUGUGACUAGAAUGUAAGUAAAAUGAAUGUAACCCGAGUGGAAGAAUUUGUUUAGUUAGAUGAAUGAAAAGUUGGUGAUAUUGAUGACUUAUUGCUUCAUUGAAGGAAAAACAGUUGACACAUGUUAUAUAAGGAUAUUUUGCAAUUUGGAUUGGAGUUCGAAUAGAAGUUAGCAGAAUUGGAGGAGUUUAUGUUGGUAUACUUAUAUGGCCUUAGAACUGACCUCUCUAUAGUAUAAAAUUUGAGCUAAUUAUACAAUAAGAAAAAUUGGGUUCUUUUGGGUCUUUUUACUUAAUGAUUUGAUCUUUACAACUCUUAGUCGUUUUUUGCAAAUUGUUUUGACAGAAUGCUUUGUGAAUGCAUUUCCCUUAAUUUGAUGAGCCAACAUAAUUUUGACAUUAUGUGAAUAAGAUCUCAUUAAAUAAAAAUGGCCAUUACGUGUAAUACGACAUAUUUUAUUGUUCUCGUGUUGAUUCUUUUAUAUAUAUAAAAUCAUUGGAAUAGUCAGCUAGAGUUCUUUGUAGAUAUUUUUUCUCCUUUUAAUAGCAUUGAUUGUGGAUACAAUGUAGAUGUGGUUGGAUCAUAGUGUUGAAGAAAUUUCAUAGCUAGCGUUUUAAUAUAGGGUAUAACGCUUACUUUUGUUUUUAAAUUAAGUUAGGAUUCGUGAUGAGUAAAAUGAUUGCAAGCAAUUUUGAUUGGUUUUAUGGCAUAUGAAGUGUUAUUGGAUGGUGAAAAUAGGAGGAUAUAUGAUAGGUACGGUAAAGAGGGACUUAAGCAGCAUUUUGCCAAUGGUGGCGGUACUGGUAGAUUUGGUUGAAUGAAUUUUCAAGAUAUUUUUAGCUUGCAACUUUAUGCCUUCCUUGCAUGAAUUGUACAUUUUCAUUUGUACCUUUCAUUUUUACUUAUUAUCGAACAUUUGUUUUGUUUUCUUAUGUAUGAACCCCCCAUAACUAAAUCCAUUAGAACUUGGAUCUCUAAUUUGCUUGUGUUAUUUUUACUUCAAAUUAGCACUCAAUUUGUACAUUUUAUUUAUUUUGAACAAAGUCGUUACAAAAAUUUGGUUUUAGUAUUUCUAAUUAACAUAUAUAAUGAAAUUGUACAUUUGAACUUCGUUCAAUUUUAUAUCAUCGUCAUUCGGAGAAUGGCAUUCUCCUGGUUAAAACUAUUCCAAGUAAGUAAACAAUUUAAAGGCUUAUACUUUUAUAAAAAAACCUCUUGCCUACAUUUUGCCAUAAUGGUUGCAUUUCAUAUGAACUUCCCCAGGGUAUCCAAAGACUUCAUAUCAGUUCUUUGCUUUUUUCUUCUAUUGUCCCCUCCAAACAAAAAAGUAUAUGAUUGAGAAUACUUUAAAAGAUUUUUUUAAUUAUUUUUGAUUAAUUUUUCAUAAAAUUCUGCAGAUAAAAGUUGCUCAAGUUACUUUUGAAUAUGAAUAACACAUUGCAACUGAAUUUGGGGGACUGGAUUAAUUACUGUCCUAUAAUCCUUUGUGAUAUAUUUGUUCUUACGGUGCAUUUUUUUUAUACUAUCAACUCCUACUACUUUAAAGUAAUUUUAUCGUUUCAUUGACAUGCAAUAUUUGUGAUAACUCAAUUUCUCUUUGCAGAGCUCAUUGAGCUUGACCCUGUUCAUGCAACUGAAUUUCAAGUUCCCAUUGGUAAAACUUUUUUCGUAGUCAUAGCUCACCAAUAUGUUUUUUGACAUAGUUUUCACAUGAUGGAUGAUAUAAUUCUAUGUUGAGAAAAGUGAUGGUGUUGCACAUUAUAUAAUUUUCAUUUAUAUAGUUGUUCAAACUCCUUUUCCUUUUGUUUCCUAUCUGAUGGAAAACUUAUUGUUGGAUUCUAUCAGAUUGUACUAGCGACAAAGCUUGCUACGAAACCUUGAGAGGCCACAAUCAAGACACUUUCAUAUGUUCAAGGAUGGUGUGUUUCAUUCUUACAUGCACGUUGCAUCAAAGAAACAUAUAUUACUGAAGGCAUCGACAAAAUUACUAAAAAAAACUUUGAAACUAUUUCUACAAAUUCUCCUACCUCCUUGGAUGUGCUGAGAGUAGCUAAAUAUUUUACGUUGUACCAUAUGAUUUUCUAUUUAUAUUUAACAUACUGGUGUUUCAAUGGCAUCUGGAUAUGUGACUUAUUAUCCUUUU
rnacentral:lncRNA from 1 species